ACGUUCCCCACUAUUCUUCAAUAGCUUUUGGUCUCCAUUCUCAUCUCCUGGUUUCCAGUGAGAUGAACCCUAAUUCCAACUGGUCUUAAUAGUUUCAUCUCUUUCUUUUUCUUCUAUUGAUUUUUUGUUUUAAUUCCUUUUAUUGCCUUUCUGAAAAAAAGUAAUUGCCUUGUUGAUUUGCAAGCAAAUUUUGGUAAAGUUCUUAAAUAUUUGAGUUUAGAUCUUCUUUGAGAGUGCCGCUAUGGGAGUGAAGGGUUUUGUUGAAGGAGGCAUAGCCUCAAUCGUGGCCGGGUGUUCGACCCACCCGCUUGAUUUGAUCAAAGUCCGAAUGCAGCUCCAGGGUGAAAGCCAUGUUCCCAAUCCGGCUGUUCAAGCACUCCGCCCUGCUUUAGCCUUUCAGACAACCACUACUACCACCUCCUCUGCUAUCCACAUGCCUCCUCCGCCGGCGCGUGUUGGACCUGUGGCCACCGGGAUCAAGAUCUUCCGGACCGAAGGCGUCGCUGCUCUUUUUUCUGGCGUCUCUGCU
rnacentral:lncRNA from 1 species